UACGGCCAUAUCACGUUGAAAAGCCGGUUCCCUUCCGAUCACCGUAGUUAAUUAAGCCAGGUCAGUAACUAGACGGGUGACCGUUAGGGAAUACCAAGUAUUGUAAG